rnacentral:lncRNA from 1 species
CAAAAAGUCUUUUCACCAUAACAUGGGCAAAGAUAAAUAAGAAAAGAAGAAAAACGACUCUGGUUUUUCUUCCCUUCACUUGUUCCUAGCGAACAUGUUAUUCUUGCAGCAUUAAUGUCCAGCCAGAGAUAUCAGGUAACAAGAACUUGCUUCCAAGCUUCAGAGUACAGAAAAAGAACACUCUAAAAAGCAUCAAAACUCCAGUAUUUACAAUCCCUUCAAGAGACUUGGUUAAUUUUAAAUAUUUAAUUGUUUACUUUGUUUAAACAUUCCUCUUUAUCCAAUGAAUGUACACUUAAAAAUUAUUUUCUUUGAUAUCAAAUGCUCAGCAAGGGAAAAAAAUGUAUACAAAAUAUAGAAAAGAAUAUCAAAAAGACCAAGCCCAGUAUGUUUAACAAUGCAUUCUUUUCCUCCCACAGUGCAUUAAAAAAAAAAAACAAAAAAAAAAAACAAAAAGCUUGCGUCCAUACACAUUGAAACACAAAGGAAAUAUAACACACUGAGUUGUUUCUGCUUUUGAUCCCAGUUCUUAGAGGCAAGAAAUCAGAUUGCAGAAGAAAGCCUGCUCAAAUCACACAAGAGCAGCCCAUGUAUGACGACGCCCUUCUCUCUCCUUAGGCUCUUCUGCAAGGGUCACCUGUAACCCCUCUAGCCUAUCUAUCCAAUGGUGGCUGGAGCUGAGGGGUUGUGGAUGGCAACACUGGGCGACUCCAGCAUCUUCAUGGUGAGCUGCUGGGGAAAGGCACUGACGAAGAGAGCUCGGAUUGUGUCUGUGCUUGUGACUUCAUUCGGCAUCCGCAGCUGUUUGGUUUCGUCUCCAUACUGGAGGUAGAGGACACCUGCAUGCAAAAGGAACACACAAUUAUCAG